rnacentral:piRNA from 1 species
UCCAUACUGGAAAGGCCCUGAAUCCUGGA